AUUUCUCCCUUCCGGAAAGUCAACGUCUGAACAUCCCAUUUUGAUUGCUGGAAAGUUUCUCAAAUUCGGGCAUCCAGUGAGAUUGAGGUACUCGAGAGAUUCCAAGUUGAGAUCGGUUGGAAAACUCUCUAGCUUUUUGCAAUCACUCAUAUCUAAAUAGAUCAGUUUAGUGGCAUUCUGAAUCGAGGAAGGAAGUGUCACCAAAGAUUUGCAUCCAACAAGAUCUAAUUCCUCGAGGUUUAUGGCUAAAGAAAGAUCUGGAAUUUCUUUCAAAUUGUUGGAAUACCUCAAAUUCAUCUCCUUGAGACUUCCAAGGGGCUGAAAACAAAAUAUGGAAAAAGAGAAUACACACGUUCACAAAUAUACCACAGUUCUGUUCUAAAAACUGACAACUAAUAAAAUUUAGAAUUCGUACCAGAGUUCCUUCCCACAGUUUCUCAAGCUUACUAUACUUCAUUAUGAGGUUAACUAGAUAUUCCGCCUUAAAAGUAGAUGGCAAAGACUUCAAUGGACAAUCAUCCCAGUCUAGCAAUCUGAGUUUAAGGGGCAAAUAAACGAGGCUCUGAGGUAGAUCCCCGUAAUAACCAAUUUCUAGAUAUUGCAGAUUACGCAUGCCUUUGAACGAUUCUUUAUCUAUUAAUAACGGCCUUGUCGAAAAAUAUUCCUCGAAUGGCAAACGUAUUCCAAGAAGAGUUUCUGUCCCCUGAAAAAAAAUCCGAAGAAAACUAAUAUAAUCUUAACAAUCGCAACCCUUUUUAAUUUUCUGACACAUCAAAGCUACAUUUUAAUUACGCAUGAGGCAACAAUUGCUUAAGUUUAUCAAUCCCCAAAUUACGAUUAUAUUAAUAUAAAGUCAUGCAUUCAAACGGAGCUGCGAAAAAAACUUACAGUUUUCUCGGUCACUACUUCAUGAAUAUCUUCAAAAUUCGUCAGAAAUCGACGUUUUCCAGGAUUACCCUUGGACUUUGCACGAUCAAUUUCUCUACCCAAUUUCUCUAGCAAAUUGUGCAUCUCUAUAUAUCCAUCCGGUGUAAUACGUAUGAGGGACUUCUCAGUCAACAUUGUAAACCCAACAUUAUCUUUAAGUAAAUCUUUGACGUAACUGACUUCAAAACCAUUGAAUAAACACGCGAUGUAAAGGAACAUAUCUUGAUCUUUUUGAUGUAAUCUAUCGUAGCUGACUCUUAAUGUUUUCAUAAUAUCUCCGUUCAAACCAUUUCGGAGCCUAGGCAUCAUCUCCAUCCACCAUUCUUUGGUCCUUCCCUUUAAAGACGAACCAAGGACACUAAGACCCAACGGAAGAUUACCGGCAAGCUUCGCAACUUCAAAUGCUAGUUCCUUAAAAUCAUCAGGUGGAGAGUCUUUCCCAAAAGCAGAUCGGCAUAACAUCGUAAGAGCAAGAUGUUCAGAUGGGAACUCCACCUCAUAUAUAAGGUCAAUCUCAUGAGCCUUGAGAAGUUGCCUAUCUUGAGUGAUCACAAUUAUUCUGCUUCCAGAUCCAAACCAUUCAGCUUUUCCCACCAAGGUCUUAAGAAACUCUAGACUAUCCACAUCAUCAAGAAGGAUAAGAACUUUCUGUUGCUUUAACCUUUGCUCCACCACACCAAAAUGCUCUAUCUUUAUGUCCUUUUGACCUAAGAUUUCCGAGAGAAGUUCUUUUUCCCACCUCAACUUCAUGCCAGAGACGUCACUACCGCUGGUGCUUUUAUAUGUUAUGAAAGCGCGAUGGUGGAACUGGAUAGAGAGUUUACUGUAAAGAGCUCUUCCUAUGGUACUCUUACCAAUCCCUGAUUGUCCCCAAAUCCCGACCAUUAUUCUAGCUUCCUUGGAUUCCAAGCACAAUACUGAUUUUAUUGCCUCUAUAUGAUUUUCAAUUCCGACUAAGUCGCCAAAAUCAUCCGAUGGUGUCAUAGUUUUUCUCAAAACAUCCUCGGCAAGCUCUUCAAUCAUGGCUGCUUCACUAGGCCUAAUAACAAUAGUCAACUGUUUCAUUAAAGAAGCAACGCAAAACAAAAAAAUCACGAAGUCUAUUCAUUGAAAUACCAUUUCCGAAGAUCAUAUCCGGCCAUAACUGCAACAGCUGCUAGAGCUUGCUUCCAACUUUGUUUCUCAUCCUCUGAUUUAGCCUUGCAUGUCUCUUCAAAGACCUUUCCAAAUUCGCCGGUCUGUUUUUUAACUUCCGAAGCAUCAACGUGGAAGAAAAUCGGAAUCACCAUUUGAUUCAAAUUCGUAUAACACUUGUGAAUCUCCACCAAUUCAUUCAGGCACCAGGUGGAUGAAGCAUAGUUCUUAGAGAAGAUAACGAUUGCUAUUCUCGAUUCUUUUAUUGCCGAUAAAAGCUCCGGGCCGAUUGAGCGGCUCCUCUCGAUCUCAUCAUCUAUGAAUGUGAUUGCUUUGCCCCUGAGCUCCUUGAGAAGAUGGCUGAGGAAUGAGUCACGGACAUCUUCUCCACGAAAGCUUGGGAAAACGUCGUAUCUCCGGCUGCCAGAAGAAGAAGCUAUCUCCAUAUCAUCAUCUUUGGAUGUAUCCAUCAUUUCACGGUCGAGCUCGAGCUCCUUGACAAGAUGGCCACGAAACAAUUUGCCGAAAUUUUCUCCACUGAAGCUCGCGAAAACAUUGUAUAUCCAUCUGAGAACAUUGUAUAUCUAUCUGAAGCAAGAAGACGCCAUGGCAGAGGAUGAGAGAGAAGAGACGAAAUUUCUCAAAGGAAAACUCUUUGAAGUAUAUCAAUAAUACAACACAGUAACAGAGAGGAGAAACUUGGUCUUCCUUUCCUCGAAGACUUGUAUAGAAGACUUACUAUACAAGAUAUUGUUUUAGUGGUUAAAAUCAAAUCCCAUUACAAGACAAUUGGGACAAAUAAUACGUAAACUUGGUCUUCCUUUCUUAGAAGACUUGCAUAGAAGACUUACUGUACAAGAUAUUUUUUUAGUGGUUGAAAAAUCAAAUCCCUAACAAGAUAAGGCCAUAAUUAUGUGAUACAGAAACUUCCCCUUCCUUUCCUUGGAAAGCUUCUACUCUAUAACGAUAAGUCAAUUUUGUGGCUAUCAGUCGUCACUGAAUUUAUCUAUGAUGAUGAGACGUAGCCAUUCUACAAGAUUUCAAGAUAAUUUCUAGGCAAAAUAGACAGAAACUUCCUCGAGAGCUACUUUUCCUCUCCACAGAUAUUUUUGAAGACCCAAAAUUUUGUGGCUGUCAGUGGUUCAAGACAGAAACAAGAUUUCAAUUUAUUUUAACAAUGUUAAGGUUCACUAAUAUCAAAAGUCUGGUUUUCCUAUUCAUACUGUACAUACAUGCAUGGAAAUUAGGAGAAUAAUUAGUAUAUCGAUUAUGAGGAUUAUAAUUCAACUAAUAAUACAGUGAAAACACUAACAACAAACUAUCUAGUUUUCUAGAGCUGUGUGGUGUGGACAGUGGAGAGAAUAUUUUCAUGUAAAGUUUUCUUGUUUACAUUUACAAUUGUAAUAUUAGUUUAGAGUUUUGGCUUACUGUGUCAGCAACCACUGUAGGCUGCGAUUGCAUUUGCUGCCGUUUAAGGAGCAUUUGGUUUCUAAGGGUAGGUUUCAUGUACUGGAUGGAAGAAGUCGUGCUUGAGAGCAUCCUCUGCACUGAUUCGCCGUCUCGGGUUAACGGUCAAACAUCUAUCAACGAGGUCAAGGAGCGACCAUGGAAUUGCAUCUAGAAACUCCAUGCGUUUUGGGUUGAGUUCGUACCAUUUUCUCAACUCCAUCCCUUUCAAGUACCUUGACUUGUACAAUUCCUGAAACAACAACACAAAAAUCAACCUGAACUCAUCUCUCACGAUCAUCUAUCUAAUAAUUUUGUCGGUAAUUUACAUUUUUAAGAUAUAUAAUGUUUUGGAACACAAAAUGCUAACAAUGAAAACCCUUUUGUGAUAUUUGAAUCCAAAUGCUGGCGGCAAAGAAGAACAGAACAUGUAUGUUAUGUUCACACCAAUGCAGUAAUCAAAUGAAUGGAGAGUUUACAAGGGAUGAAAGAUGAGAUUUUACCUCAUGUAAAGAGGAUUCACGGUUGUGCAGCUUGGCUACUUCCCAUAAUUCUUCACUGCCUCGUAGUUGCGCAAUGUCCUUUAUGUUCCUGGGAAUGACAAGGUCGUUGUAAGACGGCAAGAAAGAAGAAAAAAGUGGAACCGAGUGAUGGUGUAUUCAGUCAAGUCAGAUCUUAACUGUUCAGGGUCACCAGUGAGAGCUUUCCUUCCCAUUAUGAGGUAUAACAAAGUAACUCCCGCAGAACACACGUCUUUUUUUAGGUCCUUGGUCCAAAGACCAUUCAGCCGAGAACAGCCCUAGAGAAUUAGCUUUUCCAUCCCAUCCUAGAUGUGUUAAUGAGUAGCUCAGGGAACAAGAUAUUUUCAUAUGGAUUUAACUAGUAUCAAGGGAAGUGAUAUAUCUGCAGGAAAAAUGGCUUGUGUCAAAACAUAUGAAAUCGUCUUGCCAUUAUCAUUAUAGUCAUGCUCGGUCCCAAGUUAUCCUAAAACAGAGGAAAACCGAAUAAUAAGAUGCUUCAGUUACCAGAACCAGAAUUCAAGAUAGGAAUUUCUUCAUCUUGUUGUUCACUUAUCAUGGAAUCAACACACAAAGAUUCCCCCUCCAGAGAUGGAUAAGAAGAAACUGAUGAUGCUUCUCCCUGCCCUAACGAAAGCUCCAUAUUUAGAGCGGUCAAGCUUGUGUCCGCUACAAUUUGGACACAGGGUAAGUUGAUAUAUUCUUCAGAUGUUCCCGAUGUCAUCUGCAUCGUAAACCAAAGGAUCGAUUCUGUUAAAUAGUCUGUCACUAAGGUAUUGAUCCUGGAAAAUAUAAUAAAACAUCAAGAGAUAGCUUUGCAAUUUUCAGUUCUAAUUAUGUCAAAAGGCUUACCCGCAUCCGCUUAUUGCUUCUCGCAGUCUCUACAACAUCACAUUUUUCUCGAGACUGUUGGCUGUACUCUGUUUCAGAGCUUCCAUCACUAUCAUCUGGAAAUGGAGACACAUUCAAGAGUCGUAUACCACAUUCUUUUAUCCUCUUGGAGCAAGAAAAGUUAAACUCCACAUCGUUGAAAGUCAAUUUAGAUGGAAGAUCUUCAGGCUGGAAGUUGAAGGAACAGAAAACCAGAUGAUCCGUCUUACACAACCGCAGGUCUGCAUCUUUAAAAAAUGAUUUGCAAUACAGUGUCCCAUUGAAGCCAGCAUUUACCUCACAAUAUGGACCCCAACUCUUGCCCUCAGUUAGAAGGUCAACCACGAUGCAAGCCUUAAAGCAAGAAUACUUGAGAAAGAGAGCUCUAAGGUAAAGUGACAGUUAGGGAAUCUCCAUAAGCUCGAUGUUGAAAAUACGUUGGCACUUCUCCACCUGGUAAGGACAUAGGCUUGAACAAUGACCGUAAGAUGAGUUCUCGCGCAUCUCCAUCCAAUUUGCAGCAGUUCUGGAAGAGAUAAUGAAAGGCCCCGAUCCGGACUACCUAAGUCCGGACGAGAUCUCUCGACCCAAGUCACUAAGUGACUCGACCCAAGUCACUAAGUGACUCGACCCUAACCAUUUAUGAGGUUCAUUCCCUAGUGUAAUCCGUUUCAUACAAUUCUGUGAUUCAAUAUAUGAGACGAAUAGAGUAAACAAACAAUCGGAUACUUUAUUAAUUAAGUAAAGGAUUCGAUACAACUUAUGAGUUUGCAUAUAAGCUAUUACAAGUAAUUUAAUCGAUCCCUAGACUAUCCGAAACUAUCACCACCCAUCAUUCCGGCCUUGAGUCUCUCGCGCCUAAGCCAAGUCCUUCCCACUAUCACCAUUGGUUCCUGAAAGUCAUAGAGCCAUAAGUAAUUUCAUUUACUUAGUCAUAUGCAAGUCCAUGCAAUGCUCCAUAGUCCUUACACUACUCGGAUCCGCGGAGAGGAUUCGGAGAAGGGAAGAUCGCGCAUAAGUCCGGCCGAUUCUCGGUAGGUCAAUUAAGACCCGCCGGUCCUCCGCCGAGCCGCGUCUCCGCCCCAGCCGAUCCCUUGCCCGGACCGAGGCUUGUGUAGGUUGCACAUGACCCGAUUCUACCCAGCCCAUUAGUCGUUCCUUUCAAGGAAUCCCGACUCAUUUAACGCAUUCUAGAAUCCUUAGACUCGAGGUCUAGGAUUCCUUACCUUCCUUCACGAUGUUCGGUCGAUCCGACCCUUCUUCUUCCUUGCCGGCCACAGUCCGCCUACCGAUUUCCUCCGAUGAUUUAUUCUCCCGAAAGGGAGAGAGUUUAAUGGUGAGUUUCCGGUAUUUUCCGUGUGUUCUGCUGCCUCUAAAGGUCUUGGGCGCCCUCCCUUAUAUAAGGAGCGAAUUGAUGCUUCCCGAAGGAUCACCUCCGUUCCUUGCACCUUUCCGAAGAGUUGCAUCUCUCGGUCCGUAACUGCUCGCCCUUAUCCACCCUUUGGGCGAGCACCCGUUCGACCGUAACCGCCCAAGUAACCGUCCGGGUAACCGCCCAGCUGGUCAGACAGUCGACCAGCUGCCUCGAGCUCAACCGUCACUCGCCCAGCUGCUCGAGCUGGACUGUCACUCAACCCGAGUAACCGUCACUCCUUCCAGCUGAGCUUGAGCUUCGGACGAGCUGACCCAGCUGAUUCCUUUACGAUCCUAGCUUAGCCCGCAUGAUUUCCCUUUGUCCGAGCUUAUGGCCAACUCCUUCCCACUUGUCCGAGACUCCACCUUCUUUUCUCGGACCAAGUCCCAGCCAACGAUCCUAUUGAGGAUCGCGGGCGUUACAAGUCUCCCCUUUGAAUUGGAUUCGACAAAUCGAAUCCAAGUUGAUCUUUACCCAUCUCCUUGAACCACUCCGGAAAAUUGGCCUUCAUCUUAGUCUCGGUUUCCCAAGUGUAUUCUUCACGGCCUCCACAAUUCCACAAGAUUUUUAACAAAUCCAUUGAUUUCCCCCGAGUCCCUUUCUUCAUUUGGUCCAUGAUCCGUACCGGCCAUGCUUCCACCGUCAUGUUCUCCUUUAACCCAGGAGGUACAUCUUCCAUGCUUUCUUCUUGUUCACUUAAGCACUUCCGUAGUUGUGAUACAUGAAAGACAUUGUGAAACGCGUCUAGUUUUGGAGGAAGGUCAAGUUUGUAUGCCACCGCCCCUACUCGUUCGAUCACUUUGUACGGGCCAACGUACCUUGGCCUUAACUUUUUCCUUGAUGUGAAUCGCCCUGCCCCUUUGUAGGUCAUCGCCUUUAAAUACACCAAGUCUCCCACUUGGAAUUCUAAUUCCUUUCGACGCUUGUUGGCGUAACUUUUCUGACGAUCUUGGGCUUCCUUUAACUUGAUUUUUAAGAACUUCAUUUUCUUCGUGGUUUCAUCCACGACCGCAGGUCCGAACAACCGACGUUCGCCCACUGGCGUCCAACACAACGGUGUUCUACCAGCUCGGCCAUACAACGCCUCAUAGGGAGACAUACCAAUACUAGCUUGAAAACUGUUAUUGUACGCAAAUUCUACUAACCUUAGAUAUUUCUCCCAGUUUCCUCCCCAAUCCAAGACGCAUGCCCUCAACAUGUCCUCGAGGGUUUGAAUCGUUCGUUCGGACUGUCCGUCCGUCUGUGGGUGAUAUGCAGUACUUAGAUUCACUCGAGUCCCUAAGACCUUUUGAAAAGGCUUCCAAAAUUUUGACGUGAACCUUGUGUCUCGGUCCGACACUAUACUAACCGGAAUCCCAUGUAAUCGCACGAUCUCGUCUAUGUACUUCUCGGCAAUGAUUUCGGCUGCAUCCUUAUCCGAGAUUGCCAUGAAGUGCGCAGACUUAGUCAAUCGGUCUACUACAACCCAUACCGCAUUGUGUUUGGACUUGAUCCCCGUCGGCAGUCCCGUGACGAAGUCCAUCAUUAUAUGGUCCCACUUCCAUUCCGGUAUAGGUAGGUUUUGUAACAUUCCACUUGGUACUUGAUGCUCUUCCUUGGCUACCCACCUGGCCACAUCUUUCUUCAUUCCUACCCAAUGGUAGUAUCUUUUAAGGUCGCGAUACAUCUUGUUCGACCCAGGAUGGAUCGAGAACUUCGAUUGAUGCGCUUCUUUUAGGAUUUCCUCCUUCAACGCCUUAUCGUUCGGCCCACAUACUCGACCGUUCACCACGAUAGUACCAUUGUUCGAGCUUUGGUACUCGGUUUUAUUGUUUUGUGCCCACCCUUUUAUUUCUUCAUCUCGUUCUUGAGCCGACCGGAUCCUACUAAGUAGGUCGGCUUGAUUGGCGGCUCUCAACCCUAAGGGUUCAACUUCCUUAGACAAAGCAUUCAAAUGCAAUGUCCCCAUCAUGUUAACCAAAUUCACUUGGUUCCUUUCCGCUUCCACUACCGUGCGCAGCCUGCUCAAAGCAUCUACAACUUGGUUGGCCUUGCCCGGAUGGUACGCUAUGUUCAAGUCGUAAUCCGCCACAAGUUUUAUCCACCUUCUUUGCCUUAGAUUUAACUCCGGCUGGGUGAAUAUGUAUUUUAGGCUCUUGUGGUCAGUAAAGAUUUGAACCUUGGCACCAUACAAAUAUGAUCGCCAAAUCUUCAACGCAAAUACUACCGCGGCCAUUUCCAAAUCAUUCGUAGGGUAGUUCUUCUCGUGUUUCCGCAAUUGCCUCGAGGCGUAUGCGAUAACACUCCCCUUUUGGAUCAAUACGCAUCCUAGUCCUACUAUGGAUGCGUCCGUGUAGACCGUAUAGGGCUCACCUUCCUCCGGUAAGACCAACACCGGUGCAUUAGUCAACAUGGCCUUUAACUCCAGGAAGCUUCUCUCGCAUUCCUCCGACCAGUUGAAUGCGGUGUCUUUUCCGGUCAAUUGAGUCAUGGGUUGGGCCAUGCUCGCAAAUCUCUCGACCCAAGUCACUAAGUGAAUGGACCCUAACCAUUUAUGAGGUUCAUUCCCUAGUGUAAUCCGUUUCAUACGAUUCUGUGAUUCAAUAUAUGAGACGAAUAGAGUAAACAAACAAUCAGAUACUUUAUUAAUUAAGUAAAGGAUUCGAUACAACUUAUGAGUUUGCAUAUAAGCUAUUACAAGUAAUAUAAUUGAUCCCUAGACUAUCCGAAACUAUCACCACCCAUCAUCCCGGCCUUGAGUCUCUCGCGCCUAAGCCAAGUCCUUCCCACGAUCACCAUUGGUUCCUGAAAGUCAUAGAGCCAUAAGUAAUCUCAUUUACUUAGUCAUAUGCAAGUCCAUGCAAUGCUCCAUAGUCCUUACACUACUCGGAUCCGCGGAGAGGAUUUGGAGAGGGGAAGAUCGCGCAUAAGUCCAGCCGAUUCUCGGUAGGUCAAUUAAGACCCUCCGGUCCUCCACCGAGCCGCGUCCCCGCCCUAGCCGAUCCCUUGCCCGGACUGAGUCUUGUGUAGGUUGCACAUGACCCGAUUCUACCCAGCCCAUUAGUCGUUCCUUUCAAGGAAUCUCGACUCAAUUAACGUAUUCUAGAAUCCUUAGACUCGAGGUCUAGGUUUCCCUUACCUUCCUUCACGAUGUUCGGUCGAUCCGACCCUUCUUCUUCCUUGCCGGUCACAGUCCGACUACCGAUUUCCUCCGACGAUUUAUUCUCCCGAAAGGACGAGAGUUUAAUAGUGAGUUUCCGGUAUUUUCUGUGUGUUCUGGUGCCUCUAAAGGUCUUGGGCACCCUCCCUUAUAUAAGGGGCGAAUUGAUGCUUCCCGAAGGAUCACCUCCGUUCCUUGCACCUUUCCGAAGAGUUGCAUCUCUCGGUCCGUAACUGCUCGCCCUUAUCCACCCUUUGGGCGAGCACCCGUUCGACCGUAACCGCCCAAGUAACCGUCCGGGUAACCGCCCAGCUGGUCAGACAGUCGACCAGCUGCCUCGAGCUCAACCGUCACUCGCCCAGCUGCUCGAGGUGGACUGUCACUCAACCCGAGUAACCGUCACCCCUUCCAGCUGAGCUUGAGCUUCGGACGAGCUGACCCAGCUGAUUCCUUUACGAUCCUAGCUUAGCCCGCAUGAUUUCCCUUUGUCCGAGCUUAUGGCCAACUCCUUCCCACUUGUCCGAGACUCCACCUUCUUUUCUCAGACCAAGUCCCAGCCAACAAUCCUAUUGAGGAUCGCGGGCGUUACAGAUAACCUGCCCUACAGGCCAAAUGUUUGUGGUUAAGGUUUUCCCAGAAACGAUGACGAGUAUACUCAAUGUUUUCAUAUAAUGGUAUAUAAGAAGAGUGAUCUUCCACACUGGCAUCACUCAUCGCCACGUUGACACCUCUACAUUCUGUAAAGUCGACGAGCUUAAGAAUUGUCAGUCUGAAAAUGUUUGGCGAGAUGUUUUUCAACCUCUUGCAACAAUACAUCAUAAGUACAGUGAGCCACGAGAAAUUUUCAAUGCAGCAGGGAACUUCUUCAAUAGCGGUGUUUUCCAGAUAGAGCCAUUUGAUACUCUUUGAAAUCAGAGGAAAAGUUCUCAAACUUGAGCAACCACUCAGAUCAAGCAUUUUAAGAGAUGACAAGUUGACAUCGGUUGGAAGAACCUCCAGCCCUGUGCAUUCUUUCAUUUCCAACCUCACCAAUUUUUGGAGAUUCCCAAUUGUAGAAGGAACUGUCACCAAACUUUUGCAAUUAGAGAGAUAUAAAUUCACCAGAUUAGUGGCCUUUGAAAGAUCUGGAAUUUCUGUCAGGUUUCCACAUUCUGACAUAUCCAUCUCCACGAGACUUGCAAGCGACUGAAACAGAAAUUAAAAAAAAAAAUUGUUAUGCUUCAAUCACUUUCAUUUUAAUUUAAUAACUAUACACAUUUAAACAAAAUUAUAAUCAAGACAUAAUUCUGUAUGUAAAUAUAAACCGUGGAAUCACAAGCCAUUUUGACAACUUUAAUUUGGUUAUACGUAAUUAUUUACAACAGAGGUUAAACAAAAAUCAGCAAAUGCUAUAAUAUUAACAAUGUACCUGGACGCCUUCCCAUAGCUUCUCAAGCAUUUGGUUGCCUCUCACUAUGAGACGAACCAGAUCAUUUGGGCGAAAUUCACAUGGCAUACAUCUCACAAGGCAGGCGAGAUAAUCAAGACCAGGGAGAUUCUUGUUCCAUAUACAAUUUUCUACGCGGAUCUCAAUUCCAUGUGGCGAAGUAGUUGAAGUUUCCAUUUUAAACACAGGGAAAUUUUUCUCAAAUUAUCGUAAUAAAGGAGACCGAGGUACUCAAGAGAUUCCAAGUUGAGAUGAGUUGGAAAACUCUCUAGCUUUGUGCAACCCCUCAUAUCUAAAUAGAUCAGUUUAAUGGCAUUCUGAAUCGAGGAAGAAAGUGUCACCAAAGAUCUGCAUUCCGAAAGAUUUAAUUCCUCGAGGUUUCUGGCAUUAGAAAGAUCUGAAAUUUCUCUCAAAUAUCUGGAACCAUGCAUAUUCAUCCUCUUGAGGCUUCCAAGUGGCUGAAAACAAAAUAGGGAAAAACAUAAUACACACAUUCAUAAACAUUUCAAAUAGAUUAAUUUUUACCACAGGUCUGUUCUAAAAAUUGACAACUAUUUCAAUGAAGAAUUAAGUACCACAGUUCCUUCCCACAGCUUCUCAAGCUUACUUCCCAUCAUUGUGAGUUGAAUGAGGUAAUCCGCCUUAAAACUAUAAGGCAAACAUUUCAAUGGACACCUAUCCCAGUCUAGCAAUCUGAGUUUAGGGGGCAAAUAAACGAGGCUCUGAGGUAGAUCCAUAUAAUCCCCAGUAACUGAUAGACAUUGGAGAUUACGCAUGCCUUGGAACGAUUUUUCAUCUAUUGGUAAUAGCUCUUUUGAUCGGAAAGCUGUGCAGAAACGUAUUCCAAGAACUGUUUCUGUCCCCUGAAAAAAAUACGAAGUAAACUAGUAUAAUGAUAUAAUCUUUACAAUGGCAACCGUUUUUAUUUUUCUGAGACAUCAAAAGAGCUAGCCACGUUUUAAUUAAGCAGGAGAGGCAACAAUUGUUAAAGUUUAUCAAUCCCCAAAUGACGAUUAAAUUAAUAUAAAGUCAUGCAUUAAAAGGCAUCUGCUAAAAACUUACAGUUUUCUCUGUCAAUACUUCUCAGAGUAUCCUCAAAAUCCGUUAGAAAUCGACGUUUUCCAGGAUUACCCUUGGACUUUGCACGAUCAAUUUCUAUACCCAAUUUCUCUAGCAAAUUGUGCAUCUCUAUAUCUCCAUCCGGUGUAAUACGUAUGAGGGACUUCUCAACCAACAUUGUAACCCCAACAUUAUCUUCAAGUAAAUCGUUGACGUAACUGACUUCAAAACCAUUGAAUAAACACGCGAUGUAAAGGAACAUAUCUUGAUCUUUUUGAUGUAAUCUAUCGUAGCUGACUCUUAAUGUUUUCAUAAUAUCUCCGUUCAAACCAUUUCGGAACCUAGGCAUCAUCUCCAUCCACUCUUCUUUGGUCCUUCGUUUUAAAGACGAACCAAGGACACUGAGACCCAAAGGAAGAUUACCGGCAAGCACUGCAACUUCAAAUGCUAGUGCCUUAAAAUCAUCAGGUGGAGAGUUUUCCCCAAAAGCAGAUCGGCAUAACAUCUUAAGAGCAAGAUCUAGAGAUGGGAACUUCACCUCAUAUAAAAGGUCAAUAUCAUGAGCCUUAAGAAGUUGCAUAUCUUGAGUGAUCACAAUAAUUCUGCUUCCAGGUCCAAACCAUUUAGUUUCCCCCACCAAGGUCUUAAGAAACUCUGGAUCAUCCACAUCAUCAAGAACGAUAAGAACUUUCUUCUGAUUUAACAUUUGCUCCACUACACCUAACUUCCCUCCUAUCUUUAUAUCCUUACCAAGAAUUUUUGACAGAAAUAUUUCUUCCCAUUCAGACUUCAUGCUAUAGACGUGAGGUACGAAAGCGUGAAAGUGGAAUUGGCAAAAGAGUUGACUGUAUAGAGCUUUUCCUAUGGUACUCUUACCAAUCCCUGAAGGCCCCCAAAUCCCAACCAUUCUAGCUUCCUUGGAUUCCAAGCACAAUAUUGAAUUCAUUGCCUCUAAAUGAGCUUCAAUUCCGACGAAAUCGCCAAAAGAAUUCGAUGGUGAAAUAAGCUUAUUCGAAACAUCAUUAGCUAUCUUUACAACCAUGGCUGCUUCACUAGGCCUAAUAACAGUAGUCAAAUUGUGUCAAUAAAGAGGCACCCCUAAAGCACACAAUCCAAAAAAAGAAGAAGCAGAUAGCAUAGUUCAGAGAUAAUUAAAAACACACUCAGAGAUAAUGAAAUCAAAAACAAAGUACCCGUUUCGAAGAUCUUCUCCGGCUAUAUUUGUUAUGUCUACUAGAGCUUGCAUCCAUCUUUGUUUCUGAUCCUCUUCUUUGUCCUCGCAUGUCUUUUUAAAAACAUCGCCAAAUUCGCCGGUCUGUUUUCUAACUUCCGAAGGAUCAACGUCGUAAAAAACUGAAAUCACCAAUUGACCCCAAUCAUUUAAGCGAUUGUGGAUCUCAACCAAUUCAUCCAAGCACCAAGUGGAAGAAGCAUAGUUCUUAGAGAAGAUCACGAUUGAGAUCCUUGCUUCUCUAAUCGCUGAUAUUAGCUCAGGGGCUAUUGUACGGCUUCGUUCGAUGCCAUGAUCCAUGAAUGUAUUGAUUGAUCUGCGGUCGAACGCCUCGAGUAGAUUGCUGAGGAACGUCUUGCGAACAUCUACCCCACUGAAGCUUGGGAAAACAUCGUAUCUCCGGCUGCAAGAAGAAGAAGCCGCCGCCAUGGAAUAUGAUGAGGAGAAGAUAAGUACAGUAAAUCGAAUACACAGUGAUUAUUGAUUAGAGUGAUUACUGUGAGGCCGGUCCUUAAGGGUGGGAUGCGCAAGGAAACUUCUUAUUUUUUGCCCAUAGGCCAUAAAUAUAAAAAUGUAGCGAAAUGUUUGUAAUGAGGUUCGAACCAAGGCCAAUGAAGCAUUUAAAACCUGAUUUCAAGUAUUCAACCGCUCAACUACAAGUUAUGAUGCCUCUUAAAUCAAUAUUAGAUUUAUUUUGGUGUCCAAGGUCUUUGCUUAUUGUAAAAAGGACAGCUUAUCGUAAACAUGUUGAGUGGGGAAUUCAGUCUUUGUUUCCCUAUACUUACAUGCAUAGAAACUAGGAGAAUUUGUAAGUAUAUCAAUUAUGAGGAUUUUAAUUCACAUAAUAAUAUAGUGAAAACAUUAACUAUCUAGUUUGUUAAAAAAAAAACUCUUUUAGCUUUCUAGAGUUGUGUGGUGUGGUGUGGAUGGACAGUGGAGUGAAGAUUUCUAGAAACUCUCUGCGUUUUGUGUUGAGUUCUCCUCAUUUUCUCAACUCCAUCCCCUUCAAGUACCUUGACACGUACAAUUCCUGAAACAACAACACAAAAAUCUAUGUGAAUUCAGCUCUCACGAUCAUCUAUCAAAUCACUUUAUCAGUAAUUUACAUUUUAAAGUUAUAUCAUGUUCUGGACUAACAAUGAAAACCAUUUUAUGUGAUAUUUGAAUCCAUAUGCUGGUGGCAAAGAAGAACAGAGCAUUUGUAUUAUGUCACACAAAUUCAGCAAUCAAGUGAAUGGAGAGUUUAUAAGGGAUGUAAGAUGAGAUUUUACCUCAGGCAAAGAGGUUUCACGAUUGCAGCUUGGCUACUUCCCAUAAGUCUUCACUGCCUCGUAGUUACUCAAUGUCCUUUAUGUUCCUAGGAAUCACAAGGUCGUUGUAAGACGGCAAGAACGAAAAAAGAGUGGAAUCGACUGAUGGUGUAUUAUAUUUUUAUUUAUUAUUAUUAGGUCAUUGGUGCAAAUAUCUGAAGCAAACCUGCACAAACCAAUUCAGCUAAAAUAAGCACCAGAGAAAUUAGCUUUCACAUCCUAAAUGUGACAAUGACUAGCUCACUUGACCUCAGGGUCGUGAUUGAGUUUGGUGGUUGUGGCCGGUGAGUAGGACGGGUGGAAGCUGGUUUUGUAUGUAUGGGGCAGUGGUGGUGCUGAGUUAUGUUGUAAUCACUGUUUUUUACUGUGAGUGUAGGAAACGCCAUGGUAGCAGUGAUGCAUUUAAUGCUGAUGAGGUUGCUAUUUAAAAAUUUAGUUCCAACACUUUUUUGUUGUUGAUAAUUCUCUUGUGAAAUACAUUUUUCUUUACCGAAUUUAUUCAUUGAUUUAAAGAGAGAAAAAUAACCUUUGGUAACAUACACGUAGAGAGAUAUGUGUGUUUCAAAAGACAAGACUGUUAUAUUUACAUCUUUUCAGGAAAGCGAAUUUUUCAAAGAAGCAAAACAGAGAGAAGUAAGAACAGAGUGGUUCUGCUGUUCUGGACAUGGAACCAUAAAAGUUUUCUAGUUGUCAGUGCUCCAUCAUCUGCAGGAGAAAAUGGCUUGUGUGAAAAACUAAGAAAUCGUCUUGUCAUUACCAGUAUAGUCAUGGUCGAUCCCAUGUUCAUUAUAAAACAGAGUUGUAAUACGUUUCAGGUUACCUUAACAAUGUGAUAAGCUGUAGAGACGGCUAAGGAUCCAGGAAAGGAAUCUUAACAAUGUGAUGGUGUGAAUUCAGUCAAGGCAGAUCUUAACUGUUCAGGGUCAGCAGUGAAAGGUGUCGUCCCCAUCAGACCAUACGUUUUAUUUAGGCCCUUGAUGCAAAGAUCUGAAGCAAACCAAUUCAGUCAAGAACAGCCCCAGAGAAUGAGCUUCCCAUCCUAGAUGUUCUAGUGAGUAGUUCAGGCCUACAACUUUCACUCUUCUCGAUAUAAUUAAAGAGUGCAGCGGCAUAGGGGAACAGCAGCGACAUAUUUUCUCAUCGACGUAGGAUAGCUGGAUGAUACUUCAUGGUUUGGAAGUGGACCAGACAAUGUCUCCUGUAGAAAGUUUAAAAGCUCUUUCCUUCACCCGAAGGAUUGUUCCUUAUGCUGGUUACAUCUUUGGCCGAAGUUAGGCCAAAAACGCUUCUGCCUUUUGGCUAUUGAAUCAGCGGAUAUGCAAAUGUUGCUGAUUCUUGUUGUUUUCUGUACCCAAAGUCUGAUUUAUUCAUUGCUAAUAAAGAGAAAAACAACCUUUACUAACAUAAACAUUGAGAUCUAUGUUUUAAAAAGGCAAGACUAUUUUGGGUAGUACCUGCACUCAAGCAGGUACGCUCCCAAAUUCAAUGUCUUUCUUAAAAAUAGAAUAUGUUUUUACAAAACAAAACAAUGCCAAAGAUGUUUUUCCAGAAUAUGCUAAAGUAUGGCUUUCUGAAACAUUUAUUCUUUCAGGAAAAGUGAAAUGUUCAAAACAAACGCAGAGCUGGAUAAUGUAACGGACUUUGGUUCUCCUAAAGAUCUUCAUCAUCUGCAGUUAAUUAUCAUUAUCAUUAUAGUCAUAGUCGAUCCCAAGUUAUCCUAAAACAGAGUAAAACAGAAUGAUAAGAUGCUUCAGUUACCAGAAUCAGUAGACAAGAUAGGAAUUUCUUCAUCUUGUUCUUCAGUUAUCAUGUAAUCAACACACAAAGCUUCCCCCUCUAGAGAUGUUGAUGAUGAUGCUUCUCCCUGCCCUAACGAAAGCUCCAUAUUUAGAGCGGCCAAUCCUGAGUCCGCUACAAUUUGGCCAUAGGGUAAGUUGAUAUAUUCUUCAGAUGUCCCCGAUGUCAUCUGCAUUAUAAAUCAAACGAUCGAUUCUAUUAAAUAGUCUGUCCCUAUGGUGUUUCGAUCCUGAAAAAUCAAACCAAAAGUCAAAAGAUAGCUUUAUAAUUUUCAGCUCUAAUCAAAAGUCAAAAGAUACCCCCAUCCGCUUCUCGCUUCUCGUAGUCUGUUGGUUGUACUCUGUUUCUUGAUAGACAUACAAGAGUCGUACACCGCAUUCUUUGAUCCUAUUGGAGCAACAAAAUUUAAACUCCAUUCAGACCAGAUCUUGAAGGAACAGAAAAACAGAUGAUCCGUCUUACAAAACUGCAGGUCUGCAUCUUCAAAAAAUGAUUUCUGAUACUGUUUGCCAUUGAAGCCAACAUUUACCUUCAAGGAUGGAUAAAAACCCUUGCCCUCGGAGGGAGGUUCAACCACGACGCAAGCCUUAAAUGGAAAGAAGUAUUGAGAAAGAGAGCUCUGAGGUAAAGUGACAGUUAGGGAAUCUCCAUAAGCUCGAUACGUGAAAUACUUAGGGAUUUCUCCACCUGGUAAGGCCACAUGCUUGAAGCAUGAUCGUAGGAUAAGUUCUCGCGCAUCUCUUUCCAAUUUGAAGCAAUUGCAGAAGCUAAAGGAUUCCCUACGUAAGCGCCAAUCUACGACGUAGUUCUUAUAAUCAUCAUCAUACAACGCAUCCCAGAAACGUUCACAUGUAUAUUCAAUGUUUUCAGAUAAUGGUACACAAGAAACGUGAUCUUCCAUUGUCGCUACCACAGUUGCAUCACUCAACGCCUUGAUGACACCUCUACAGUCUGUAAAGUCGGCGAACAUUAGACUUCUCAGUCUGAAAAUGUUUGGGGAGAUGUUUUUCAACCUCUGGCAACAAUACAUCAGUAGUACACGGAGCCUCGUGAAAUCCUCAAUGCAGCAGGGAACUUCUCCAAUGGCGGUGUUUUCCAGAUAGAGCCAUACAAUAUUAGUUGAAAUCAGAGGAAAAGUUCUCAAACUUGAGCAACCACUGAGAUCGAGGAUACCCAGAGAUGACAAGUUGACAUCGGUUGGAAGAACCUCCAGCCCUGUGCAUCUUUUCAUGUACAAACGUCUCAAAUUUUGAAGAUUCCCAAUUGUAGAAGGAAGUGUCACCAAACUUUUGCAGUUGUUGAGUAUCAAAGACUCGAGCUUGGUGGCCUUUGAAAGAUCUAGAAUUUCUUCAAUGGCGGUGUUUUCCAGAUAGAGCCAUUUGAUACUCUUUGAAAUCAGAGGAAAAGUUCUCAAACUUGAGCAACCACUGAGAUCGAGGGUUUCGAGAGAUGACAAGUUGACAUCGGUUGGAAGAACCUCCAGCCCUGUGCAUUCUUUCAUUUCCAACCUCACCAAUUUUUGGAGAUUCCCAAUAGUAGAAGGAAGUGUCACCAAACUUUUGCAGUUGUUGAGAUAUAAAUGCUUCAGAUUGGUGGCCUUUGAAAGAUCUGGAAUUUCUGUCAGGUUUUCAGAUUCUGACAGAUCCAUCUCUUCGAGACUUCCAAGCGACUGAAAAAAACAUUAUCGAUGAUAAUCAUUUUAAUUUUAUACCUAUAUAUGUUUAAAAUUAUAAUUAAACAUUAUUACGUAUGUAUGUAAGACAUAACCGUGGAUCGACCACAAGCCAUAAAAACAAAUUUGGGUAUACUUAAUUAGUUAUAUAACAGAAGGUAAACAAAAAUCAGCAUAGCAUUAACAAUGUACCUGGAUGCCUUCCCAUAGCUUCUCAUGCUUGUAGCACCUCACAUUGAGAAAAACGAGAUAUUCUGGGCGAAAUUCACAAGGCAUACAUCUCAUAAGGCAGUCGAGAUAAUCUAGUCCAGCAGGGAGAUUCUUGUUCCAGAAACAAUCUUCUACCACGAUCUCAUUUCUCCCUUCCGGAAAGUCAACGUCUGAACAUCCCAUUUUGAUUGCUGGGAAAUUUCUCAAAUUCGGGCAUCCAGUGAGAUUGAGGUACUCGAGAGAUUCCAAGUUGAGAUCGGUUGGAAAACUCUCUAGCUUUUUGCAAUCACUAAUAUCUAAAUAGAUAAGUUUAAUGGCAUUCUGCAUCGAGGAAGGAAAUGUCACCAAGGAUUCGCAUUUACAAAUAUCUACUUCCUCGAGGUUUAUGGCUAAAGAAAGAUCUGGAAUCUCUUUCAAAUAUUUGGAACCACGCAGAAACAUCUGCUUGAGUCUUCCAAGUGGCUAAUAACAAAAUAGGGGAAAAGAGAGUACACACGUUAGUGAACAUUUUAAACAGAUUCAUUUUAGUUUUUCUAACAGAUUUAUGUUUAGAAAUUGAUCACUAAUAGAAUUAGUACCUGAGUUCCAUCCCACAGCUUCUCAAGGUCACUAUUCUCCAUUCUGAGUUUAACCAGAUACUCAACCUUAAAAUUAGAAUGCAAACGCUUCAAUGGACAAUUAUUCCACAAUAGCAAUCUGAGUUUACUAGGGAAAUAAACGAUGCCCUGAGUGCCUUCCAUACGUGAGCAAUCAACUGAUAGAUAUUCGAGAUUACACAUGCCUUCUAAUGAUUUUAAAUCUAUUAAUAGCACCCCCGAACAAUAUAACGUCCUCAGUUUAAUGGCAUUCUGAAUCGAGGAAGGAAGUGUCACCAAAGAUUCGCAUUCAGAAAGAUUUAAUUCCUCGAGGUUUAUGGCUAAAGAAAGAUCUGGAAUUUCUUUAAAAUAUUUGGAAUACCACAAAUUCAUCUUCUUGAGACUUCCAAGGGGCUGAAAACAACAUAUGGAAAAAGAGAAUACACACGUUCACAAUUUUUUUAAAACAGAUUCAUUUGAAGCUUUUCUAACAUAUAUAUGUUCAUAAAUAUACCACAGUUCUAUUCUAAAAACUGACAACUAAUAAAAUUUAUAAUUCGUACCAG
rnacentral:lncRNA from 1 species